GUUUGAUGGAGCCCAGGCGGCAGCAUGACAGCAGUGUUUUCUCAGUCCUCCACGGUUCAACCAUCAAGUCUUCCUCUGUCAGCCCUUCAAUCUGGGUUCACCAAUUAGUAACAUGGCAGAAUUAUUCCAGUUGCCUCCUACGAGAGAGUGGUGAAUGAUAUUUAUGACAAGGCCGACUUUGACGGACUCAAGCUAAUCAACUUCAAAGUGAAAUACCUUUGUGUCAUGAGGGAAGAGGACAAGACCAACCCUCUGCAUCGGACCUUCAUCGGCCCAGAGAAGCUGCUCAGUCUGUUCUCUGAGAGAAACUGGGAAAACUACUGUCUGCCCUACCUGCUGACCAACAGGGACUACAGUGGAGUCCUGGGGCUGGCCUGGGAGGGCAAGACAGACACACACCGACACACACGACCACCUUGUCAUCAAUGGCCUGUAAUACUAACCUGCACUAUACUGCAUUUGCACUAUGUACACUUCUGCACAACACUGUAGAUGCACUGUACAUAUUCACCACGGCAGCAUCCCUGCAUCUGCUUAGAUAUAUUCCCUCUGUAAAUUGUAUAUUCCCACUGUAAUCAGCCUAUACUCCAGAGUGUUAUGUUUGAUGUUUACUGUUCCGAUAUUGCUAUAUUCUGUAUGACGUCUGUGUGGACUUGUCUGUAUUCUGUUUGUAUAUUGUCUAUUGCUGGCAGCAACCUUCUCACUGAGGCUAAUUCCAGGUAUGUGUAAAUGUACUUUGCAAAUAAAGGUGAUUCUGAUUCUGACACAAGCACUCUUGUUAUGGGACGUGAUCUAACAGAAUCCCCUCAGCAGUCACAACAUGGACAUAAAAUAUCAAUAACAUGCAUGUCAAUCUCUCCUGGCUCAAAGUAGAGGAGAGAUUGACUGCAUCACUGCUUUUCUUUGUGAGAGGUAUUGACGUGCUGAAUGCACCAAAGUGUCUGUUCAAACAACACACAGCUCAGACACCCAUACAUACCCCACAAGACAUGCCACCAGGGGUCUCUUUACAGUCCCCAAGUCCAGAACAGUAUCUGGGAAACACGCAGUACUAUAUAGAGCAAUGACUACAUGGAACUCUCUUCCACAUCAAGUAACUCAAGCAAGCAGUAAAAUCAGAUUAAAAAACCCCCAGAUAAAACAAAACGGCACAACGCGGACUGUGAAGAGACACACAAACACACACACGCGUACGCACACACACUCUACACACACACACAUUGUACUGUUGUGGUAUUGUGAAUUGUAUAUUGUAAAUGUGUAAUAAGAGAGUAAUAAUGUAAUAAUGACUUGUAUGAUGUAUUAUGUUAUUUCGGAUGUAGGCUGUUAUUGUGUUUUGUUUUAAUGUAAUUGUUUUAACCCUGCUUGUAACCCAUGAAGAGUAGCUGCUGUA